UACGUAGGGUGCAAGCGUUGUCCGGAAUUAUUGGGCGUAAAGAGCUCGUAGGCGGUUUGUUGCGUCGGCCGUGAAAACCUGCAGCUUAACUGUGGGCCUGCGGCCGAUACGGGCAGACUUGAGUUCGGUAGGGGAGACUGGAAUUCCUGGUGUAGCGGUGAAAUGCGCAGAUAUCAGGAGGAACACCGGUGGCGAAGGCGGUUCUCUGGGCAGUAACUGACGCUGAGGAGCGAAAGUGUGGGGAGCGAACAGG
rnacentral:rRNA from 1 species